AACAAACGCUGGCGGCGUGCCUAAUACAUGCAAGUCGAACGGGGAAAGCUUUCGGGUGAGUACUAGUGGCGCACGGGUGAGUAACACGUGGAUAAUCUGCCUUAGAGUGGGGGAUAACUAGUCGAAAGAUUAGCUAAUACCGCAUAAGACCACAAGAACUGCGGUUCAAGGGGUCAAAGGUUUUUCGCUCUAAGAUGAGUCCGCGUAAGAUUAGCUAGUUGGUAGGGUAACGGCCUACCAAGGCGACGAUCUUUAACUGGUCUGAGAGGAUGAUCAGUCACACUGGAACUGAGACACGGUCCAGACUCCUACGGGAGGCAGCAGUAGGGAAUAUUGCACAAUGGAGGAAACUCUGAUGCAGCGACGCCGCGUGAGUGAUGAAGGCCUUCGGGUCGUAAAGCUCUGUCGCAGGGGAAUAACACAAUGAAGGUACCCUGUAAGAAAGGAUCGGCUAACUUCGUGCCAGCCGCCGCGGUAAGAC
rnacentral:rRNA from 1 species